GGCCUCUCCAGCAAUGCAGAAAUGGAUAAAUUCAACCUGGAUGCAGAAAUUUGCAUAAGUAACAAGGAGCCAAAUGUUAAUCACCAAGACAAUGGGGAAAAUUUCUCCAGAGCAUGUCAGAGACCUUGGCAGCAGCCCCUCCCAUCACAGACCUGGAAGCCUAGGAGGAAAAGAUGGUUUCAUGGGCCCAGGGCCUUGCUGCUGUGUGUAGCCUUGGGACUUGCUGCCCUGCAUCUCAGCCACUCCAGCUCUAGCUGUGGCGAAAAAGCAUCAAGGUACAGUUCAGGCCAUUGCCUCAGAGGUGAAAGCCCCAAGUCUUGGUGGCUUCCACAUGGUGUUGGGCCUACAGGUGCACAGAAGUCAAGAAUUGAAGUUUGGGAACCUCCACCAAGGUUUUGGAAGAUGAAAGGAAACGCCUGGAAAUCCAGGUAGAAGUCGGCUGCAGGGGCAGAGCCCUUAUGAACAAACUUUGCUAGGGCAAUGUAAAAGGGAAAUGUGGGGUUGGAGCCCCCACACAGUGUUCCCACUGUCACACUGUCUAGUGGAGCUCUGAGAAGAGGGCCACCAUCCUCCAGACUCCAGAAUGGUAGAUCCAGUAACAGCUUGCACUGUGAGGCUGGAAAGGCCACAAGCACUAAACGCUGGCCUGUGAAAGAGGUGCUCAAGGCUGUGGGAGCUCACUCCUUGCAUCAGCAUGCCCCAGAUAUGAGACCAUGGAGUCAAAGCAGGUAAUUACAAAGCUUUAAGAUUUAGUGACUGCCCUGUUGGAUUUAAGACUUUCAUGGGGCCUGUAGACCCUUUGUUUGGGCCAAUUUCUCCCAUUCGGAAUGGGAGCAUUUAUCCAAUGCCAGUACUCGCAUUGUAUCUUUGAGGGAUAACUUAUUUUUGAUUUUACAGGCUUAUAGGUGAAAGGGAUUUCCCUUGUCUCAGAUGCAACUUUGAACUUGGACUUUUGAGUUAAUGCUGAAAUGAGUUAAGACUUUGGGGAACUUUUGGGAAGUCAUGAUUAGCUUGAAAUGUAAAAAGGAUAUUAGAUUUUGGAGGGGUCGGGGUGGAAUAAUAUGGUUUGGCUCUGUGUCCCACCUAAAUCUCAUCUGAAAUUGUAAUCUCCACAUGUCAAGGGAGGGACCUGGUGGGAGGUGAUUGGAUCACGGGGGCAUUUUCCCCCCAUGCUGUUCUCAUGAUAGUGAGUUCUCACAAGAUAUGAUGGUUUUAUAAGUGUUUAACAGCGUCUCCUUUGCAUGCUCUUUUUCCUGCCACCCUGUGAAGAAGGUGCCUGCUUCCCCUUUCACCAUAAUUGUAAGUUUCCUGAGGCCUCCCCAGCCACUUGGAACUGUGAGUCAGUUAAACCUCUCUUUUAUAAAUUACCCAGUCUCAGAAAAGGUAUUUAUAGCAGUGUGAAAAUGGACUAAUACGCAAACUGACCAUAUCUCUGGCAGACAUUCAAGGCCUGGUUAAAAUUGCGGGUCUGCCAGAUGUCUUGACCUUGAUGAGCCCUACGCUUUCCAGGGCUCACAGUGACUUUAUACACUGACUUUCUCUGCAGGGGUCUUAUAAACUCUCAGGGAAACUGAAAACAGACACUUCAGCUUACCUAAUUCUUUAAAGUGGCAAUGUUACCCUUUUCUUACACAGGUAGAUUUCUGCUUUCUACUAAUUUAUUCAACAAAAAGCAAGUUAUUAUCUAGCAACACAUACUCAAAUUGCAGAAAUAUGGAGGAAAUCAAGAGAGAAAGCCACGACCCCACAGCUCUUGCAUUCUGUGUGCCUAUAUCAUUAACAACAUUAGGUGGUGCCAAGGAUCACUGCUUGUGCUCUCUGGAAGGGUGGCCUGUGUCACACCUGGGUCCAUCUGUGUCACAGCUGAAGUGGGUGAGAAGUACUGCACAGGAAUUCAGGGAGUAGAGACUAGAAGUACCUUGAGCAGCAAGGUCCAAAGUCUCAUGGGCACACUGGGGCUCUCUCUGGAAACCUUCUUUUCUCAAGGCCUGUGAUGUGCAUUGGAGCCUGAAAAAUCUCUGAAAUACCUUCAGUGUUAUUCUCCCAAUUUCUUGAAGAAUACCACCUGGCUUACUUAUAUCCAUACCAAUUUCCUCAGCAAAUUGUCUCUUAGCUACACUCGUAGUUUCCUCUCAGAAGCAUGAUUUUUAUUCUUCAAAUGGCCAGGUGUAGAAUUUUCCAAAUCUUUACGUGAUGCUUACCUUUUGAUUGUAAAUUCUGUCUUUCAAUCAUUUCUCACUCCUUGCAUUUUACUAUAAGCACUUAGGAGAUGCCAUGCAGUUCCCUGAACGAUUUGCUGCUUAAGAGAUUUAGUCCACCGAAUAUCUUAGUUUAUCAUUCUUAAUUUUUUCCUUCUACAAAGUCCUAGGACACAAGCAUAAUUCAACCAAAUUCAAACAGAAAUGGCCUUUUCCCCAGUUUUCAAUACCUUGUUCCUGAUUUCCCUCUGAGACCUCAUCAGAAUAGUCUUCACUGUCAUGACUACUUAAGUUAUCUCUAAAAAAAAAAAAAUGAGGCUUUCUCUACAGCUUUUCUCUUGUUAGCUCUCACUAGAAUCAGCUUUAACACUCCCUUCACAGCAAUCUAAUGUUUUUCCAGCAUUCAUUUCAAAACUCCUCCAGCCUCUACCCAUUACCCAGCUCCAACCCAGCUUCCACAUUUUUGGGUAUCCGUUAUAGCAACACUCUACUCUCUUGGCAUUACUUUCUGCCUUAGUCUGCG
rnacentral:lncRNA from 10 species